UACGUAGGGUGCAAGCGUUAAUCGGAAUUACUGGGCGUAAAGCGUGCGCAGGCGGUUGGGUAAGACAGAUGUGAAAUCCCCGGGCUCAACCUGGGAACUGCAUUUGUGACUGCACAGCUGGAGUGCGGCAGAGGGGGAUGGAAUUCCGCGUGUAGCAGUGAAAUGCGUAGAUAUCGUGAGGAAGACCAGUGGCGAAGGCGGAUCUCUGGACAGUUCCUGACGCUGAGGCGCGAAGGCCAGGGGAGCAAACGGG
rnacentral:rRNA from 1 species